rnacentral:rRNA from 1 species
CAUGUCUUUUUGAUAAUAAUUUAAAGUCUGACCUGCUCAAUGAAAUUUUAAAUUGCCGCAGUAUUCUAACUGUGCAAAGGUAGCAUAAUAAUUAGUUUUUUUAUUGAAAGCUGGAAUGAAUGGUUUGACAAGGGAGCUACUGUCUCUUUAUAAUUUUUUUUUGAAUUUAAUUUUUAAGUUAAAAAGCUUAAAUUUUUUUAAAAGACGAGAAGACCCUAUAGAGUUUUAUUAAUUUUAAUAUUAUUAUUUUUAGGUAUUUAAUGUUUUAAUUUUAAGAUUAAUUUAGUUGGGGUGACUAGAAGAUUAGAAUAACUCUUUUAAUUAAAAUCAAUGAUUUUUGAAUUUUAAGUCUAUAUUUUUUAAUUUUAAAUUAAAUUACCUUAGGGAUAACAGCGUUAUUUUUUUUUAGAGUUCUUAUUGAAAGAAAAGUUUGCGACCUCGAUGUUGGAUUAAAGUUAAUUUUUGGUGCAGUAGCUGAUAAAUUGAGUCUGUUCGACUCUUAAAACUUUACAUGAUCUGAGU